rnacentral:rRNA from 1 species
CUGCNGGUCGACGAUUCCUACGGGAGGCAGCAGUGGGGAAUCUUAGGACAAUGGGGGAAACCCUGAUCUAGCCAUGCCGCGUGAGCGAUGAAGGCCUUAGGGUUGUAAAGUUCUUUUGUUGGGGAAGAUAAUGAUCGUGCCCAUAGAAGAAGCCCCGGAUAACUCCGUGCCAGCAGCCGCGGGAUUACUGAGGGGGCUAGCGUUGUUCGGAAUUACUGGGGGUAAAGCGCACGUAAGCGGACCGGAAAGUCAGAGGUGAAAUCCCAUGGGUCAAACUUGGAACUGCCUUUGAAACUCCUGGUCUUGACGGCCAUAGAGGUGAGUGGAAUUCCGAGUGUAGAAGGGAAAUUCAAAUAUAUUCGGAGGAACACCAUGGGCGAAUGCGGCUCACUGGCUCGAUACUGACGGUGAGGUGCUGAAGCUGGGGGAGCAAACAUGAUUAAAUACCCUGGGAGUCCACGCCAUAAAAUAUGAAUGCCAGUCGUCGGGUAGCAUGCUAUUCGGUGACGCACCUAGGGGAUUAACUCUUCCGCCUGGGGAGUACGGCCGCAAGGUUAAAACUCGAAGGAAUUGACGG